UUGACCUCGGAUCAGGUAGGAAUACCCGCUGAACUUAAGCAUAUCAAUAAGCGGAGGAAAAGAAACCAACAGGGAUUGCCCCAGUAACGGCGAGUGAAGCGGCAACAGCUCAAAUUUGAAAUCUGGCCCCAGGCCCGAGUUGUAAUUUGCAGAGGAUGCUUCGGGCGCGACGCCUUCCAAGUCCCCUGGAACGGGGCGCCUUAGAGGGUGAGAGCCCCGUACGGUUGGACGUCAAGCCUGUGUGAAGCUCCUUCGACGAGUCGAGUAGUUUGGGAAUGCUGCUCAAAAUGGGAGGUAGACCCCUUCUAAAGCUAAAUACCGGCCAGAGACCGAUAGCGCACAAGUAGAGUGAUCGAAAGAUGAAAAGCACUUUGAAAAGAGGGUUAAACAGCACGUGAAAUUGUUGAAAGGGAAGCGCUCGUGACCAGACUUGCGCCGGGGCGAUCAUCUGGCGUUCUCGCCGGUGCACUCGCCCCGGCUCAGGCCAGCGUCGGUUCGGGAGGGGGGACAAAGGCGUCGGGGAUGUGGCUCCCUCGGGAGUGUUAUAGCCCGGCGUGCAAUGCCCCCGCCCGGACCGAGGUUCGCGCUCUGCAAGGACGCUGGCGUAAUGGUCACCAGCGGCCCGUCUUGAAACACGGACCAAGGAGUCGAGGUUCUGCGCGAGUGUUUGGGUGUCAAACCCGCACGCGUAAUGAAAGUGAACGUAGGUGGGAGCCUCGGCGCACCACCGACCGAUCCUGAUGUUCUCGGAUGGAUUUGAGUAGGAGCGUAGGGCCUCGGACCCGAAAGAUGGUGAACUAUGCUUGGAUAGGGUGAAGCCAGAGGAAACUCUGGUGGAGGCUCGCAGCGGUUCUGACGUGCAAAUCGAUCGUCAAAUCUGAGCAUGGGGGCGAAAGACUAAUCGAACCAUCUAGUAGCUGGUUACCGCCGAAGUUUCCCUCAGGAUAGCAGUGUUGUCUUCAGUUUUAUGAGGUAAAGCGAAUGAUUAGGGACUCGGGGGCGCUAUAUUGCCUUCAUCCAUUCUCAAACUUUAAAUAUGUAAGAAGCCCUUGUUGCUUAAUUGAACGUGGGCAUUCGAAUGCAUCAACACUAGUGGGCCAUUUUUGGUAAGCAGAACUGGCGAUGUGGGAUGAACCAUACGCGGGGUUAAGGUGCCGGAGUGGACGCUCAUCAGACACCACAAAAGGCGUUAGCACAUCUUGACAGCAGGACGGUGGCCAUGGAAGUCGGAAUCCGCUAAGGACUGUGUAACAACUCACCUGCCGAAUGUGCUAGCCCUGAAAAUGGAUGGCGCUCAAGCGUCCCACCCAUACCUCGCCCUCGGGGUAGAAACGAUGCCCCGAGGAGUAGGCGGCCGUGGGGGUCAGUGACGAAGCCCAGGGCGUGAGCCCGGGUCGAACGUCCCCUAGUGCAGAUCUUGGUGGUAGUAGCAAAUACUUCAAUGAGAACUUGAAGGACCGAAGUGGGGAAAGGUUCCAUGUGAACAGCGGUUGGACGUGGGUUAGUCGAUCCUGAGCCAUAGGGAAGUUCCGUUUCAAAGGGGCACUUGUGCCCCGUGUGGCGAAAGGGAAGCCGGUCAAUAUCCCGGCACCUGGAUGUGGGUUUUUCGCGGCAACGCAACCGAACGCGGAGACGGCGGCGGGGGCCCCGGGCAGAGUUCUCUUUUCUUCUUAACGGCCUGUCACCCUGGAAACAGUUUGUCUGGAGAUAGGGUUUAAUGACCGGAAGAGCCCGGCACUUCUGCUGGGUCCGGCGCGCCCCCGACGUCCCUUGAAAAUCCGCGGGAGGGAAUAAUUCUCACGCUAGGUCGUACUCAUAACCGCAGCAGGUCUCCAAGGUGA
rnacentral:rRNA from 1 species